UUAACCCAAAUUUGUAUGGGGUUGGACAGGGUUCCUACGUUUGCCGCUAGGGGCGCUGUUCCAACUGCAUACAAAUUUGAGUUG
rnacentral:pre_miRNA from 1 species